rnacentral:rRNA from 1 species
AGAGUUUGAUCCUGGCUCAGGAUGAACGCUAGCGGCAGGCCUAAUACAUGCAAGUCGAACGGUGUAGCAAUACAUAGUGGCGCACGGGUGCGUAACACGUAUGCAACCUACCUUAUACUGGGGGAUAGCCUUUGGAAACGGAGAUUAAUACCCCAUAGUACAUUUGAUUGGCAUCAAUUAAAUGUUAAAGAUUUAUCGGCAUAAGCUGGGCAUGCGUCCAAUUAGUUAGUUGGUGAGGUAAUGGCUCACCAAGACUUUGAUUGGUAGGGGAACUGAGAGGUUAAUCCCCCACACUGGCACUGAGAUACGGGCCAGACUCCUACGGGAGGCAGCAGUAGGGAAUAUUGGGCAAUGGAGGCAACUCUGACCCAGCCAUGCCGCGUGCAGGAAGAAGGCGUUAUGCGUUGUAAACUGCUUUUAUAUAGGAAGAAAUAGUCCUUGCGAGGAAAGUUGACGGUACUAUAUGAAUAAGCACCGGCUAACUCCGUGCCAGCAGCCGCGGUAAUACGGAGGGUGCAAGCGUUGUCCGGAUUUAUUGGGUUUAAAGGGUGCGUAGGCGGUUUAUUAAGUCAGUGGUGAAAGACGGUCGCUCAACGAUUGCAGUGCCAUUGAUACUGGUAGACUUGAGUGGGAUUGAGGUAGCUGGAAUGG